CGGCGUUCGAAUUGUAGU
rnacentral:sRNA from 1 species